GAGUUUGAUUAUGGCUCAGGAUGAACGCUGGCGGUAUGCCUUAUACAUGCAAGUCGUACGAGAGUUUUUAGCUCAAGUGGCGGACGGGUGAGUAACACGUAAGAAUUUGCCUUUAGGAGGGGGACAACAACUGGAAACGGUUGCUAAUACCCCAUAUGCUUUCGAGUGAAAUGGUUUUUCCGCCUAAAGAGAAGCUUGCGGCUGAUUAGCUUGUUGGUAGAGUAAUAGCCUACCAAGGCGACGAUCAGUAUCUGGUUUGAGAGGACGAUCAGACACACUGGAACUGAGACACGGUCCAGACUCCUACGGGAGGCAGCAGUAGGGAAUUUUCCGCAAUGGGCGAAAGCCUGACGGAGCAAUACCGCGUGAGGGAUGACUGCCUAUGGGUUGUAAACCUCUUUUUUCAGGGAGGAAUAAAUGACGUGUACCUGAAGAAUAAGCAUCGGCUAACUCCGUGCCAGCAGCCGCGGUAAGACGGAGGAUGCAAGUGUUAUCCGGAAUCACUGGGCGUAAAGCGUCUGUAGGUGGUCAAAUAAGUCAACUGUUAAAUCUUGGGGCUCAACCUCAAAAUCGCAGUCGAAACUAUUAGGCUAGAGUAUAGUAGAGGUAAAGGGAAUUUCCAGUGGAGCGGUGAAAUGCGUAGAGAUUGGAAAGAACACCGGUGGCGAAGGCACUUUACUGGGCUAUUACUGACACUCAGAGACGAAAGCUAGGGUAGCAAAUGGGAUUAGAUACCCCAGUAGUCCUAGCCGUAAACAAUGGAUACUAGGUGUUGAACAGAUCGAUCUGUGCAGUACUAAAGCUAACGCGUUAAGUAUCCCGCCUGGGAAGUAUGCACGCAAGUGUGAAACUCAAAGGAAUUGACGGGGGCCCGCACAAGCGGUGGAGCAUGUGGUUUAAUUCGAUGCAACGCGAAGAACCUUACCAGGGUUUGACAUGAUACGAAUUUCUUUGAAAAAAGAAAGUGCCUUUUGGAACGUAUAC
rnacentral:rRNA from 1 species